CCUACGGGUGGCAGCAGUGAGGAAUAUUGGUCAAUGGUCGCGAGCCUGAACCAGCCAAGCAGCGUGAAGGAUGACGGCCCUGCGUAUUGUAAACUUCUUUUGUAAAGGAAUAAAGUGAGGCACGUGUGCCUUUUUGUAUGUACUUGAUGAAUAAGGAUCGGCUAACUCCGUGCCAGCAGCCGCGGUAAUACGGAGGGUGCGAGCGUUAUCCGGAUUUAUUGGGUUUAAGGGGUGCGCAGGCGGACUGUAAAGUCAGCGGUAAAAGUUCGGGGCUCAACCCCGUCGCGCCGUUGAAACUGGCGUUCUAGAGUGAGAGAGAAGUAUGCGGAAUGCGCGGUGUAGCGGUGAAAUGCAUAGAUAUCACGCAGAACUCCGAUUGCGAAGGCAGCAUACCGGCUCUAAACUGACGCUCAUGCACGAAAGCGUGGGUAUCGAACAGGAUUAGAGACCCUAGUAGUC
rnacentral:rRNA from 1 species